rnacentral:ncRNA from 2 species
AAUGAAAUCAGAUUCAUGACUUAUAUAUGCUCAUAAUCGGUUGAGCGUUUCUACCAACUGCCGGAACAGUUGACUAUAAGUCCUCCACCAUGCGGG